rnacentral:lncRNA from 1 species
UUUUCUUCAUAGACAAAUACACUUUAAUGUCUGGAAAUUCUUCAUUCCUUGGAUCUUUUUUCAAGACUCACAGAGAGAGUGUGUGGUCUCCCUCCAGGGAGUCUGUCCUGAAGACAUGUAAACACACUGGAAUGACAAUAGAGCAGAGGCCUGCAAAGGAUAGCUGUCACAUAAAAUACAGUGUCAGAGAAAAACACUUUCUGGAUCAUGUUAAUUAUUUGUGACUCACUCAUUGCACUGUGGAACCCACAUAUUGAUGUUAAUAUUCUUCAAAUGGAGACGUCAAUUUUUGUGGAGGAAAGAAGUCUAGAGGAACUGCUGAGGCUUUUCUUACUGAUAGCAUACUUGGAAGAGCUUGUAAAUGAGCAGGGUCAUAAGAAACAGCAAGGGAAGAAAAGAAUGUAA